rnacentral:rRNA from 1 species
GAUGAACGCUGGCGGCGUGCCUAAUACAUGCAAGUCGAGCGAACAGACGAGGAGCUUGCUCCUCUGAUGUUAGCGGCGGACGGGUGAGUAACACGUGGAUAACCUACCUAUAAGACUGGGAUAACUUCGGGAAACCGGAGCUAAUACCGGAUAACAUGUUGAACCGCAUGGUUCAACAGUGAAAGACGGUCUUGCUGUCACUUAUAGAUGGAUCCGCGCCGCAUAAGCUAGUUGGUAAGGUAACGGCUUACCAAGGCAACGAUGCGUAGCCGACCUGAGAGGGUGAACGGCCACACUGGAACUGAGACACGGUCCAGUCUCCGACGGGAGGCAGCAGUGGGGAAUCUUCCGCAAUGGGAGAAAGCCUGACGGAACAACGCGGCGUAAGUGAAGAAGGUCUUCGGAUCGUAAAAGUCUGUUAUUAGGGAAGAACAAAUGGGUAAGUAACCAGGCACGUCUUGACGGUACCUGAUCAGAAAGCCACGGCUAACUACGUG